AACAAAAACACCGCCUACUUCUUUCUUAGUAGGUAGAUUCUGCCCAAUGAAGCUUAAAUGGCCGCAGUAUCCUGACUGUGCUAAGGUAGCAUAAUAACUUGUCUCUUAAUUGGAGGCUAGAAUGAAUGAACUGACGAAGAAAAUACUGUCUCAGGGGGAGAAAGAAAAUUUAUACCCAGGUAAAAAAUCCUGGGAGUUGUAGAGGGACGAUAAGACCCUAAAAGCUUUACCCUUUAAGCCUAAACCGCUAUAGCUUAGUUAGGCCUGAUGGGUUUUCACUGGGGCGGUGACUCUACCUAACUAGAGCAAUUAAAACACUCUGGGUGAACCUAAUAACCUUGAUUGAAAUCCAAAACUAAGUUACUUUAGGGAUAACAGCGCAAUUCUCUGUAAGAGCCCUUAUCGACCAGAGAGAUUACGACCUCGAUGUUGAAUUGAAGACUUAACCAGAGCAGCAUUUGGUGAAAG
rnacentral:rRNA from 1 species